GUGGGUGUGACUGGUGACAGAGUGAGGGAGUGGGUGACUAGUGACAGAGGGAGGGAGAUAGGGGUGACUAGUGACAGAGUGAGGGAAUGGGUGACUAGUGGCAGAGUGAGGGAGGGAAGAGAUGACUAGUGGCAAAGUGAGGGAGGGAAGGGGUGACUAGUGACAGAGUGAGGGGAUGACUGGUGACAGAGUGAGGGGGGUGACUGUCACUAGUCACCCCAUCCCUCUCUCUGUCACUAGUCACUCCCUCCCUAACUCUGUCACUGUGUCACCCGCUCCCUCACUCUGUCACUGUGUCACCCGCUCCCUCUCUCUGUCACUAGUCACCCCAUCCCUCUCUCUGUCACUAGUCACCCCAUCCCUCUCUCUGUCACUAGUCACCCCAUCCCUCUCUCUGUCACUGUGAAGG